rnacentral:rRNA from 1 species
UGAGGAAGUAAAAGUCGUAACAAGGUCUCCGUUGGUGAACCAGCGGAGGGAUCAUUACUGAGUUUACGCUCUACAACCCUUUGUGAACAUACCUAUAACUGUUGCUUCGGCGGGUAGGGUCUCCGCGACCCUCCCGGCCUCCCGCCUCCGGGCGGGUCGGCGCCCGCCGGAGGAAAACCAAACUCUGAUUUAACGACGUUUCUUCUGAGUGGUACAAGCAAAUAAUCAAAACUUUUAACAACGGAUCUCUUGGUUCUGGCAUCGAUGAAGAACGCAGCGAAAUGCGAUAAGUAAUGUGAAUUGCAGAAUUCAGUGAAUCAUCGAAUCUUUGAACGCACAUUGCGCCCGCCAGCAUUCUGGCGGGCAUGCCUGUUCGAGCGUCAUUUCAACCCUCAAGCUCUGCUUGGUGUUGGGGCCCUACAGCUGAUGUAGGCCCUCAAAGGUAGUGGCGGACCCUCCCGGAGCCUCCUUUGCGUAGUAACUUUACGUCUCGCACUGGGAUCCGGAGGGACUCUUGCCGUAAAACCCCCAAUUUUCCAAAGGUUGACCUCGGAUCAGGUAGGAAUACCCGCUGAACUUAAGCAU